UCGGAUCCUGCAUCCAGUGCUCCUCAUACCGUCGUCCGUGUAUCACGUCCUCGCUGGUCUUCAAGUAAUCUGAGCCCUGUUCUCAGCCCUGGAGUCCAUCAUGGCGUACUACCGGAUGCUUCCACCUAUACGAGCGCCGUCCGCAGAGCGCUGCGGGAGCGCCAGGCUCUGCAGCGCGCUGCAGCAGGUGACCGCGGUACUCAACAAGACGUCACGAGAACAGCAGGCGUCAGGCUCGCGCGCUCUCAUGUGGAGCGCGCAGCUCCCGGUCAAGCUGUUGGCGCGGAUGAGGCUGGAAGCGGUGUAGAGCGGAGCCCGGGACAGGGGCGGACCCGAACACAAGGAUUUUUGUCCUUUCACUUGGAGCCGCCCCUGGACCGAC